GUGUGUGUGUGUGUGUGUGUGCCUGAAUGAAUGUAUGUAUGUACAUGGCAUGUGUGCAAAUAUCUGCAGAUGUCAGGACAGCGCAUCAAAUUCCCUUGGAACUAGAGUUACAGGUGGUUAGAAGCUGCCAUAUAGGUCUGGGAAUCAAGCCCAGGUGCUCUGAGUAAGCAUCAAGUGCUCUUAACUGCUGAGUCAUUUCUCCCGACACCCAAAUCUACCUAAUAAUCAAUAUGUGGUUUCCAAAAUGAUAUGCUGCUAGAAUCUCACCAUUUAUAAAUAAAAGUGGUCAACAGAGUUUCUUUUUUUUUUUUUUUUUUUUUUUUUUUUCUGUCAAAAUUCCCUCAGGUAGUUGCUGAGCUUUGCGAUUGCAUUUUGAUGAGACUGGAUUGACAUCGGUUUGAGAUAGGGUUGAGACUGGGUAUUUACUGCAAAAUUACAUUCCUUGUGGUCAGUGUCGACUACAGGUAAAUUAAUGCUAUCCAUCACCCAUAGGGCUACAGUAGAAAAGUAAGCUACAAAGAAUAAAAUCAAGACUCACUUCAUAUUAUCUACUAGGGUCAGGGAAAUCCAUCCUUCACUAGGUAAACUUUACAAGUAAUUCAAAUGUCACUUAAGUUUGCAAAUCACUGUGAAGAGAUAGGCCAUGGAGUUUCCAUAAAAGGACAAGGGAAAUGAAAAUUGGUUGAAUGACAGAGAUAAGACAGAUGAUAGUUAAAGCUUGAAUUCUGUGUCCAUGACAACUUUUUGAUCCUUGUGGGUUCAUCUGAGUGAAGUUUGUGUGUUAAGAGUGUUAGAGUCCUUUACCCUAAUCAUUACAAGAAGAGCAAAAUAUAAAUCAUCAUUUCCAGUCAUUGCAUAUAAAACCACUGUCACGUGUUGGGGCAUCUUCUGGAUAUAUGCCCAGGAGAGGUAUUGCUGGAUCCUCCGGUAGUACUAUGUCCAGUUUUCUGAGGAACCGCCAGACUGAUUUCCAGAGUGGUUGUACAAGCCUGCACUCCCACCAACAAUGGAGGAGUGUUCCUCUUUCUCCACAUCCUCGCCAGCAUCUGCUGUCACCUGAAUUUUUGAUCUUAGCCAUUCUGACUGGUGUGAGGUGGAAUCUCAGGGUUGUUUUGAUUUGCAUUUCCCUGAUGAUUAAGGAUGUUGAACAUUUUUUCAAGUGCUUCUCUGCCAUUCGGUAUUCCUCAGGUGAGAAUUCUUUGUUCAGUUCUGAGCCCCAUUUUUUAAUGGGGUUAUUUGAUUUUCUGAAGUCCACCUUCUUGAGUUCUUUAUAUAUGUUGGAUAUUAGUCCCCUAUCUGAUUUAGGAUAGGUAAAGAUCCUUUCCCAAUCUGUUGGUGGUCUUUUUGUCUUAUUGACGGUUCAUAGCAGCCUUAUUUAUAAUAGCCAGAAGCUGGAAAGAACCUAGAUGCCCCUCAACAGAGGAAUGGAUACAGAAAAUGUGGUACAUCUACACAAUGGAGUACUACUCAGCUAUUAAAAAGAAUGAAUUUAUGAAAUUCCUAGCCAAAUGGAUGGACCUGGAGGGCAUCAUCCUGAGUGAGGUAACACAUUCACAAAGAAACUCACACAAUAUGUAUUCACUGAUAAGUGGAUAUUAGCCCCAAACCUAGGAUACCCAAGAUAUAAGAUAUAAUUUGCUAAACACAUGAAACUCAAGGAGAAUGAAGACUGAAGUGUGGACACUAUGCCCCUCCUUAGAUUUGGGAACAAAACACCCAUGGAAGGAGUUACAGAGACGGAGUUUGGAGCUGAGAUGAAAGGAUGGACCAUGUAGAGACUGCCAUAGCCAGGGAUCCACCCCAUAAUCAGCAUCCAAACGCUGACACCAUUGCAUACACUAGCAAGAUGUUAUUGAAAGGACGCAGAUGUAGCUGUCUCUUGUGAGACUAUGCCGGGGCCCAGCAAACACAGAAGUGGAUGCUCACAGUCAGCUAAUGGAUGGAUCAUAGGGCUCCCAAUGGAGGAGCUAGAGAAAGUAGCCAAGGAGCUAAAGGGAUCUGCAACCCUAUAGGUGGAACAACAUUAUGAGCUAACCAGUACCCCAGAGCUCUUGACUCUAGCUGCAUAUAUAUCAAAAGAUGGCCUAGUCGGCCAUCACUGGAAAGAGAGGCCCAUUGGACUUGCAAACUUUAUAUGCCCCAGUACAGGGGAAUACCAGGGCCAAAAAGGGGGAGUGGGUGGGCAGGGGAGUGGGGGUGGGUGGAUAUGGGGGACUUUUGGUAUAGCAUUGGAAAUGUAAAUGAGUUAAAUACCUAAUAAAAAAUGGAAAAAAAAAAAAAAAAACCACUGUCACUUCUGUGUAUGGGAGACCUGUGUCUGGACCCCAAGCCUCUGUACAAGACCACAGUGUCCUGCCCUUUAUACACAGCUGUCCCUCUGUUCCUAUCUGUGCCUUUCUGCCAUAGGCACUUUGAUAAGCUAAAUGUGUGCACUUAUUUUCAGAAUAUUUCAUAGGUUUGAUCCUUAGCAUGCUUUUUUGUUGGGUUCUGCACAAAGACACUGAAAAUCCUCUUCAGGCAUUCUGUAAGUGAUUGCUUUGUCAUUUUCCAUUUUUUUCACCGCCUAACAAGGCUCAGGUUUGGUCAAGAUUCCUUUUUAAAAAACAGAAUUACUGUAGAAACAAGUUGUUAGAUUUCUCUUCCCUUUUUCCUAUCUCUGUCAUUAUUUUGAUGUAUGCAAUAGUUUAGAGAAAAAGAAAAGGUCUUGGGCUUAGAAUUUUCAAUUUUGUAAAAUUUAGCAUGUAUCCUCUAAUAAGGAAAUGCUCAGUUAAACAAACACACAAUGUUCCAGAUUCCAACAGUUUCUGCACAGAUAAAAGGAUGUAGCAUGCUCAUGUGACCUUGAGGGUGGGUGUUGGGAUUUGGGCUGGAUGAGCUUCAUCCUAAGAUGAAGGAGCACUAAUCAAAAUAUUUACCAGUCACCUGACCAUGCUUCCAUUGCUGGCUCAUCAAAGCAGACACCUACUGGGCAAGUGUCCAAAAGCUGAUGACCGAAGCCUAUGUUAGCUCCUUAGUUACUGCACUGUACACUAAUCCAGGACUUCUGGGAAAGAGAAUAAAGGCAGGACCACCCUAAAACUCUGAAAACAAUUUUGUCUGUUCUCAGCCAAAGAAGAGGUUUCUGAAUUAAAUUUAUAAUAUAUCUAACCCAAAGUAUAUUUUAUUAUAUUUAAAGAUGAUAGUAGGACCUCCUUCAUUCCAUUUUAAAUAUACUAUGGGAAUUCAAAGCAUGAGAAUUAAGCAAGAAUUCAGAUGUGACUGUGGAACAGAGUUCUCCACACUUAUACCAUGACACCAUGCUAAACAUAUUGUCAAAACCACAUGGAAAAUGUGGUCCAUUGUUGUACUGACCUUUCACUAACAAGCUUGAAAAAUCAAUUUACAAAACUGUUGAGGAUAUACAAUAAGCAUGUUAAUGCCUUAUGAAGAAAAUAUCAGGCUCCAUCCCAUAUUGUACAUUUACAUGAGGAACUUGCCAGAAAAAAAAAGAAAAAAAAAAGAAAAAACAAAAAACAAAGGCAAAAUCUGUAUUUGGGUUUCAAAUUAUUUGCUUCAUUGUAAUUGAUUUUUCUACAUCCACGAAACAUGAAAAUCUCUAAUUAAACCUCAUAGAAAUUGCUCAUGGGCAAUAAACCAUAUGAUAAAAUGUCCAAAAUCAACAUUGAAAUUAUAAUGUGGCAAUUAAAAUUUAAAUAAUGACAAAAUAAAGCUGGGGCAGCUCAAGUAAUCAAUUAUAUUAAAGUUUUAAUCUGUACUCAUCUCAUUAGCUUAUCAAUAUAAUCAAAGUUAAUAGGUAGGUUUUUAAUUAGAGGAUUAUUAUACUUAAAGUUAUUUUUAAAAUUAGUUUUAUGUGACAGAAAACCAACUAACUGUGGACAGUAGCAUGAGUUUUCCUUACACACCCUCUCGGGUCCAGGGCUAAAUUUUAAUUGUACUUUAGGAACCAUAAUUUAUCAUUUGGAGGCUAAAUUUACAAAUGUUAUUGGUUAACUACAGUACUUUCAAUUCUUCUGGUAGGAGUAUACUUCCUCAUUUGCAUCCUAGUGUGUGUGGUAUCCAUGUAUCUGCUUUCUUUAUAACGAAAAGGACACAUAUGUACUUCAUGUAACUAUUACAUAUGCUUUCCUAUUAGUUCACAUGCCACAUCAAUUAAGAUUUCAUUUCACAUCCACCUACCAUUUUCGCUUGGAAGGCAUUUCCUGGUACUGAUAUUUUGUUGAUAAACUAUUCUUAUACAGCAUAUACAUAUUCUUAUAUAGUAUACAUAUAUUCUUAUAUAGUAUAUGAGUGUAACUAUUAUAUGCUAUUCAUUCAUAAAGAUCUUAUUUUUAUCUAGUACUUAGCAUAAUCAAUUAACUCUAGCAAAACCUAAAAGAGAACAAACAUUUUAUUAUCUUAACUAUUAAAAUUUCCCUAAAAGGUAUCCCUAUUUAUACCACACAGUGUGCCUCCCAGUUAAAUAUUAAACAAACAAACAAACAAACAAAUAAACAAAAAACUCAUGCACUCAAUUUAAACAUAUAUUUGACAUUAUAGGUUCAAUAUGACUCUCUUUCCAUAAUUUCUUUUUCCUCAUUGGCAUUACAUUGUUACUAUCUGACAUAUAGGUUGGCUUUUUCCUAAUCCUUCCAUAAUUCUCUCAAACAAAUUAUCUAAAUCUUGCUAAUGUUAUAUCACCCUCACUAAUCAUCAGUCUAGAUUAGUCUACAAAUGAAUACAGAAGAGUGGUGUAGACAUACACACACUGCACAUACAUAUAUAAGACUAUGUUCAGAAUACAAUUACUGGUCCUUCAGACCAACCAAAUAACAGAUUAUUGGUGGGGUCCAGUCUGUAUUUUACAUUCCAGGUGAUUUUUGAUGCACAUAAAUUUGAAAAAUAAAAGAUUGCCUUAGCCUCAGUAAAACAAGCAGAAAAAAAUGAAAGCAAAUAUAAAGCAAAAUAUUUUGGCUUGAAGAAAACAAUAUUUUUUACAACUCCGAGCUAAUAAUGUUCAGCAUACUAAAAUGGACAGUAAGUUUCCUAUUGCUAAAGUUAGUAACUAAGGUUAGAAAUUAUUCAAAUGUCAGUAGUAUGUUUUUUUUUCUUGGAAUAGAUUACAUACGGCCCCAACUAAAUCAUGAGCAUAGUCAAAGCUCCUUCAGCACAGACAGUAAAAUGUAGGGAUGCAUCCACAUGAAGCAACUGCAAUGGUCCUAUGAGUGGAUCCUGUAGUCAUUCUAUCAUAGAGCAAAGCCAUUCUGGGGACUCAUGUGGAAAUGAAUUUAUAAAGGCUCUAAGCAGAAGCUUAAAUUUUGCUAUAAGCAUCAUUAUGAAUAAAUGCCAAAAUGUAAUCAGUGGUAUACACCAUCACAUUUUAGGCAUAUUCAAAAGGGACUCACUUAAGUUUUUACCUACCCCAAAGUAGGCCAGACCUUCCUUAGACCAAUUAGAUUUCCAAGGAAUAUAGAGAUUGCCUUCAAUAUAUAUCUAUUUUUUAGUAUUUUUCAUAAAGUUAGAUAGACAAUAAAUUAUGAGAUCAUCCAAAGAUUACAAAUGAGUUACUCUGUGUUUAUGAGAUAGGAUCUAACCAGGUAGUCCAGGGUACCCUGGCAAUCUUGGUCUCCUUCCUCAGGCUUCCAAGGGCUAAUGUUACUAGACCCAACUCCCUCUCAUUGUAACCAGAAUUCCACUGCCUAUUAUAGAGGCACAUAAUAGAAUGACCAUGGUACCUGAAAUCACCACUUGGCAUCAAGAUUCUUGUGCCAAGGGGUCAAUCAAUGCCAACCUAAACAGAUGAGUAUUUUCUAGUGCCUUAUAGGUAUCUUACUGUACCUUGCUGAAGUAUAUUUAAAGUUUACUUACAUCCAGGCAUCUCAAGGAACACACAUGUGAAAUAAAAUCCAAGCUUAAUUAAUGUGAUAAAAUGAAAGAAUUAUCAGUAUACAGUGGGUUUUAGUUACUUGUAAAAACACUUUUUGUGUCUAGUUCCUCCAAUGAAACUCAAGAGAAAUACCAAAGAUUUUCCUCUUACCAUGUUCAGACAACAUCCAUAUAUAUAUAUAUAUAUAUAUAUAUGUAUGUAUAUAUAUAUGUAAUGAGGUCUAGAUGGAAUCUGGGUGAAUUUCCCUUAAGGCAGCAGUUGUUUUUUCUUUUUGUGAUACACUUGGCUAGACCAGGACAGUAUAUUCACUUUUGCUAGCUCAUGCCACUAGGUCCCAAGCUCCACCAGAAAGACCUUUACUCUCUUUGUCAACAUUAUGUUUGUCUGGCCCUGAAGGGCUUGUGUUGUGCACAAACUACAACUAUCUUUGCACAGAGUCCUGGAGUCUCCCAUUAAUCAGGCUAGGACCUGCUUAGUCAAGUCAAGAUAUGGGUGAAAUCCGUGUUGCUUCCUCACAUUCACCAAAUGUCAAAAACACACUAACAACUCUAUGUUCAGUUGCAUGCAUUAGCAACAAGGCAUACAGGCGGUGUUAUUGCUUGUCUUUGGUGCUAUUUACUGAGGAUUUUAAAGGAAAAUAAAGAUAAAUAAAACUCAGCUCCCAUAUCUCCACAAAGCAUGAGAGUAAAUGGCAUUCAGGGAAUUCAAAUGACAGAAGAACAGUCUGAGAUGCAUGGGCUCCAGCACACAUAUGGCCUGAGUAUCAGUAUUCUUUACUCUGUAAAGGAUGGGCUGGAGAGUCCCUUUUGUGGGGUUUCUGGCACAUCUAGAGGUGGACUAUCAUAGUUCUGGAGCUGAGACCAAGAAUAUGAAGAUCACGUGCAAUGGACUUCUAGGAUCACAUGUCAUACGACCUACAUGACAUCUGGACUAUGAUGAGUACUAACAUAUUGACACAUGCAUUUUUUUUGUAAACAGUCUCAGCUAUUUAUGUUAAUUUCAGUGAAAUCUCUAGAUAUAUGCAGUUUCUAUUACUCUGUUUUACAAUAUCUCUCUAUGCUUCCUUCAGAUUGAAAAAGACCCAAACUUUAAAUAUUUGCUUGAUAUGAUAAAUGUUAAAGUAAAGCACAUUUCUGAAAAGACUGUUGUGAUGCAUGGCUUGUAUAUCUUGUGUCAAGAUUUGAGGGGCUUAUAACUCACUCAUAGCAAGUUUUCUAUCAGGGAGGCCAAGCACAUAUGAUUCUAACAUGCCGUCCAUCUCAAAUGACUCUGCAGUGGCAAGUGUCAAAACAACCUAACUCUAUUCUCAUGUUAUUACUUAUUGUUGUCAGUGGCCUGUGGAGACAAGGUGUUUUUUUUUUUUUAACUAAUAAAUACAGAAAGCCUUCUUCUAUAUAUGUAUCCAGAGAUCAUGUGUGAUGAGACUAUUCUAUAUUUUCUUUAAGAAAUUCAAUGUAAUUAAUGGAAGACCUACUCUGCCCAUGAACUAGGGAACAGAACAGUUCAGGACCAAGGAAGAAAUGACCAAAUAGUAUAAAACAAACCAACAACAUUUUCCAAGACUUCUGUAAACUGCCUAUCUAAAUCCACACUUGAUGAGAGAGACACUAAUGCCAUCACACAACAUCCAUGGCUCAUUCUUAGAUACAUGGGACGUUUGAUUUGCACAGGAAUCUGGGAGAACAUAAACAUUUUAAUACUCCCAUCAUAAUGGCUUCGUGCUGUACGGAUGUUUUAGACUUAAAGAAAAAUGUGUAUGAUCUGAAUGCAUGCUGAGAUGUAUUACUUCUGAUAUUUACCAUUUGGACAGUAGAGGGUAGAACAAUACUUAAUAAUAUUUUCAUUUCUUUAUAAUAGGAUGCAGGCCUUCCACUCAGAGCUACCACAGAAGGCAUUUCCCCUCACUGAUUCCUUGUGCUUCAGUUUGGCAAAGCUCCAUACUGUGUUUUGGUGCGUUAACAGACAGAGCUACACCAAGAAUGACUUAAGUCUAGCUACUGGUUCCAGAGCCAGCAUUUAACACUGACAGGGUGAUGCACACAAUUCAGGAAAUUGCAUCUUUUAAAACCAAUUCUCUACACAAACUGUAGAAAAGGUAGUUUAAAACAGAAUAGGAUGAGAAAAAAAAUGUCUUCAAUCCUCAAAGGCAGCAUGAACAAGGAUGUAUGGUUGCCAGCUUAGUCUCAGCAUUGCAAUUUCUUUCUGUUCAGUUUCCUACUUCAAAGUCUUACCAAUCUCCUUAUCACAGGUGAGGAAACAGAAGUUCAGAAGUAAAUGUUUUCUUAAUGUGGCAUAGGUUGUUGAUGAAGUAAGUCAUUAGAAUGUCUGAAUCUAACACAAAAGUUUUGUUAGUCUAAAAUGUGUUUACACCUACUAUCACUAGCAUGCCUCGUGUUUCAGACAAGAGAAUUCAUAUCGUAUGCUUGGAUUUUAGUACUAAAAAGCAUUUAACAAGUUGACAUGAUUUUCACAAGUUCUAUUACAUGUGUCUCUCGUGAUUUCUGUUGUUGUUUCCUUUCUAGUCCUAUCCAAGUUAUUCCAGAAUUGCUGCAAACUGCUAUAACUAUAAAUGAGCAUCUCUCACCAAAGGAGAUGUUGUCAACAAGGCACUCCCAAGGUGUAGAGUUGUGUUACCCACUACAAGCUACAAUUCACAAAUCUCCUGCGGCAUGAGAGCGCAAGAGUCAUCAGGAGCAGGUCCUUGUCAGUAGAUCUCAAGGGACCAAUUCCCAUUAGAAAUGCUACAAAGAUUGCUUAAUGUGAGAUAGAUAUGGCCUCAGCUAGAAACCUGGUAUGGAAUAGCUGAAUACUUGUUUUACACACCUUAAAUCAACCACAGAGUGGUUGACAAGAUAAUUAAAUAAGAGUCCCAGUCAAAUAAGAGUAUUUAAAAAAAACGAGCCAGAGUUGUGGAGGCAGAGAAUUAAUAUUCAGAGAAUACUUAUGAGUGUUUUAAAUCUGAGACAUAUGUUUUCUCAAUUACACCUUACUAGAAAAAAUAGUUAUCAUAACUAUAUAGAUAAGGUACUAAAGCUGGUGAAUGAGUCCCCAGAAUGACCCAGUCUUGAAAUCCAUAUCUCUCCUCUAUGUCAAUGGCCAACUAAAUGGCAAUGUGUUGAUACAAAGUCAUGCACUUGCUUAGAAUAUAUACAUCUUAUGGGCAGGAAUAAUCUGUAAAUGUUUGUUCUGGGUACCAAUUUACUUAACAGCACCAAAUAAUGAACUGAAUUAUUUCUGACUAUAAAUCCAAUGAAAAUCAGAGUGCUCACUCAUGUUUAGAAAGGCUAAUAGCCUUGUCCUGCCUUGAUACAUGUAAACCUUACCUUAGAGUACACUCCAUGCCAAAGGAAUUUACAUGGUACAAGUGAUAUACUGAGUUCUCAGUAAUUAACUUUUCUCAUCCUUAUUACUCUCAGCUCAUAAGUGUUUAGUUCCUUCCACAUUCUCUUUUUCAAUGUCUUGGUGUUAAUAUGUCUUUGGCCUUAUACUCUCUGUAACCUUUUGUAUAUUUCAUUGCAUUCAUGAACAGGUAUCUGAUCCUAAGCUUACACUGGUCAUUACUGUUCUGAUCAUGUUUGUUUGUUUAGCUUUAGCUCCUUCAUUACUAUCAAUUUAAAAGAAAAGUCUCAUUCAUGCAGACAGCCCUAGCUUUUCCACGAUAAGGAUUUCUUCCUCCCAUGUUCUUUGUUUCUUGAAUAUUGCCAAAGGUUCACCUCACAAAGGCAGGUUUCCCAGCAUUUAUUCAUAAAAAUACCAUGGGUAAAUUACACCAGAAAUUGUUGAACGCAAUUUCUUAGACUUUAUUCUGUAAUGAUAUAUUUAGUUAGAGAUUAAAAUGGCUAUGUGUGGCCUUAUUGGAAGAGGUGUGGACUUGUUAGAGAAAGUAUCACUGUGGAGACUAGGAUUUGAGGUCUUAUAUAUGCUCAAGCUCUGCCCAGUGUGAAACAAAUCCAAUCCUCUACUGCUGCCAGCAGAACAAAAUGUGGAACACAGGGCUCUUCCAGCACCAUGUUUGCCUGCACACUCUCUGCUUCCUGCCAUGAUGAUAAUGGGCUGAACCUCUAAAACUAUAAGCCAGCCCCAAUUAAAUGUUUUCCUUUAUACGAGCUGAAGGGGUUUGCUGCCCCAUAGGAGGAACAACAAUGUGAACCAAGCAGAACCCGCAGAGCUCCUAGGUACUAAACCACAAAAAUGUACACAUGGAGGGACCCAUGGCUCUAGCCAUAUAUGUAGCAGAGGAUGGCCUUGUUAGUUAUCAAUGGGAGGAGAUGACUUUGGUCCUGUGAAGGCUAGAUGUCCCAGUGUAGGGGAAUUCCAGGACCAGGAAUCGGGAGUGGGUGGGUUGGAAAGCAGGAGGAGGGGGGAUGUGGAUAGUGGGUUUUCGGGGGGAAAAACCAGGAGAGGGGAUAACAUUAGAAAUGUAAAUAAGGAAAAUGUCUAACAAAAAAAAUUAAAAGAAAAAGGGUUGACUUCCUCCUAAGCUUCCAGCUUUUCCAUAAUUCAAUCACAGGGUUCAACCAGCUUUAUCCAUUGGUUGGGUAUAAAUAUCUUCACCUGACUCUUUCAGCUGCUUGUUGGGACUUUUGGAAGGCAGUCAUGAUAGACCCAUGCAUGGAGGAGGGCGACCCUAUUAGAAGGAACAUCAGUCUCAACUAACCUGAACUCCCAAGGUCUCUCAGACACUGAGCCACCAACCAGACAGCAUAUACCAGCUGAGAAGAUGCACCUAACCCUCAAGAGACUUGAUGCCUCAGGGAGUGAGGAGGUCUAGUGGAGUGGGGGUGGGGACAACCUCCUGGAGAUGGGUAUGUGGGAGGUAUGGGAUCUAGAACAGUUAGAGGGUGGACUGGGAGGGAAAUAAAAUCUGGAUUGUAAAAAAAAGAUUAAAGAAUUUAAAAAAAUAGAGUUGCUGUGGUCAUGGUGUCUUUUCACAGCAAUAAAACCCAACUAAGACUAAAAUUAAUACCAGCAUAAUGGGAUAUUGCUGUGACAGGCCUGACCAUGUCUAUGGGGUGGGGUUUAUGGAAGAAUUUGGAACUUUGGGUUUGAAAAACCGCUGAGUGUUGAAAUCUGAGUAGGAUUUUCUAUAGGAAAUUUGAAGAUAAGAAUGUUAAACGCAUUCCAGUAGAUGGAGGCCUGGCUUGUGCAAUUUCAGAGGGAAGAUUAAAGACUUUAUCAGGGCUGUUUUCUGUUUUGAUUUAAGAUUUUGUGAUUUUGAUUUGAUGGUUUGAACAAUCAGCUGUGAUUAACAAGAUAUCAGAUCUACUGAAGUGAAAGGUUUAUGUUUUUAAUGGGGCAAUUGAUGUUAGUCAGACUUAAGAAAUUAUAGUGAUUUAGAAGAGACCAACAUGACUGAGGUGAAAUUGUCCAGAAAGUAUUUUCUGAGAGCACAAAGUGCUGUAUUCCAGAGGCAGCCAAGGUUGUAUCCUGUGCUGGGAGCUGGAGUUGGUAAUGUGUAAUAGUCACACAGAAGAUAGUGAUUCUGACAUCACAAAGGGGUCAUGGGAAGGAGCUGAGGCUUGACACUGUAAGAGGCCAGGAGAGUCCACUGGUGAAGGUUCAGCUUCAGUGUCAGUUGAUCAUCGAGGACUGAAAGGGAUGUGGCAAAGAAGUUGAGGCUUAGCACCUUGAAGAACAUCUAUGAGAGAUGACUAGUUAAAGUUCAGCCCAUGUGCACCAGAAGACAUCAUUAUUUUGGAUAGAUGCAAGUACCAUGGGGGUAACCACCAAGACCUUAAGAAGCAGUGGAGUGGAGUCAGCCUAGAAGAAAAGCUUUGUGUGCUACAGAGGGUAGAGCUGGAGAAAUGACACAAAAUUCUCCAGUCUUCUUUGGAGAGACCCAGAAGAUUGUGUUGAUCCCAGACUUAGGACAUUGAGUUAAUUAUACUGAAGAAGCCUAGUUUUGUUUGGCUCAGAUUAUGACUGUGCCCUGGUUCUUUCUUCUUAAAGAAGGUAUUAAUUUUGAUUUUUUUUAUAGGAGCCCACAGUUGAAAGACCUGGAACAUUUACAGGAGAUUUUGAAUUUUUAGAGAUUGGAUAUUUUCAAGAGAUUGAAAUUUUAAUGUGUUUGAAUUUGUAAAUAUUGUGGGACUUUAUUCAUAUUGUUAAUGUGAGAUCUUGGGGAUGAAUAAGAAAGGAAGGGUUGUGGCUUAAUAGUGAUACAUUUGUGUGUUGUGUUGACAAGGGGUAAGUUGUACUGGCUGGUUACAUGUCAACUUGACUCUAUUGAGUUAUCAGAGAGCAAAGAGCCUCAGCUGAGAAAAUUUAUCCAUGAGAUCCAUCUGUCAGGCAUUUUUUGAAUUUAUGAUUGACCCCGGGGGGGGGGGGUCAACACAAUGUUGAUGGUACCAUUCCUCAGCUUGUAGUCCUAGGUUCUAUAAGAAUGCGGGCUGAGACAAAGUGUGGAAUAGAGCCUGAAGGAAAGGCUAUCCAGAGACUGCCCUACAUGGGACUCAUCCCAUAAACAGACACCAUACCCAGACACUAUUGCAGGUGCCAAGAAGUGCUUCCUAACAGGAGCCUGAUAUAGCUGACUUCCUAGAAGAUCUGCCAGAGCCUGACAAAUACAGAGGCAUAUACUUACAGUCAACCUCUGGACUGAGCACAGGGUCCCCAAUGGAGGAGAUAGAGAAAGGACUGAAGGAGCUGUAAGGGUUUGCAACGCCAUAGGAAGAACAACAAGAUCAAGCAACCAGACUCCCCAGAAUUCCCAGGGACAAAAGCACCAACCAAAGAGUACACAUGGAGGGAUCCAUGGCUCCAGGUGCAAGUGUAGCAGAGAAUGGCCUUGUUGGGCAUCAAUAGGAAAGGCCCUUAGUCUGGUGAGGGCUCGAUUCCCCAGUGCAGAGGAAUGCCACUUUGGCAGGUGGGAGUGGGUAGAUGGGGGAGCACCAUCAUAAAAGCAGGGGGAGGACAGAUAGUAUAGGGAGCUCCUGAGGGGAAACCAGGAAAGGGGAUAACUUUGAAAUGUAAAUGAAUAAAAUAUCCAAAAAAAAAAAAAAAAAAGAAAAAGAUAUAGAAAAAGAAAAAGAAAUAGAAAAAGAAAAGAAAGAAAAAGAAAAAGAAAAAGAAGGAAAAGGAAAAGGAAAAGAGAAAAAGAAAAAGAAAAUGAAAAAAAAGAAUGCAGGCUGAGCAAUCUCUGAGUAGCAAACAUGUAAGCAGCACCCUCCAUCACCUCUUGCCUUCAGGUUCCAGUCCUGCUUGAGUCCUGUCCUGACAGCCUCUAUUGAUCAACUAUGUUCUGGAAGUGUAAGCAGGUAUUUAGUUCCAGUGCAUGGACCUUGUUUUGUCAUACCACAGUGUUGACUCAUCUCAAGCAUACAGUUCUACGGGAAUGACCUUUGGACUGCAGUUCUACAAUGUUGACCUUUCCUCUGCAGUUUCACGGUGAUGACUUUGGGUCUGCAUUUUUAAGACCUUGGGUCUAUUACAGCAAAGUGUUCACCACAGACUAACAUGGACAACCUUUGAGCAUCUUCAUGACAAUGGUGCUAUAUGUAUGAAAACGUCUGAAAGAAAAUAUCCUUUCUACA